rnacentral:rRNA from 1 species
UACGUAGGGUGCGAGCGUUGUCCGGAAUUAUUGGGCGUAAAGCGCGUGUAGGUGGCGAUGUAAGUCGGGUGUGAAAUCCCUCGGCUCAACCGAGGAAGUGCACUCGAUACUGUGUCGCUUGAGUGUUGGAGGGGAUGGCGGAAUUCCCGGUGUAGAGGUGAAAUUCGUAGAUAUCGGGAGGAACACCUGUGGCGAAGGCGGCCAUCUGGACAACUACUGACACUGAGACGCGAAAGCGUGGGUAGCAAACAGG